CCUACGGGGGGCAGCAGUGAGGAAUAUUGGUCAAUGGCCGGAAGGCUGAACCAGCCAUGCCGCGUGAAGGUCAGUGCCCUAUGGGCGUUAAACUUCUUUUGUGCGGGAGCAAUAAUGGUCACGUGUGGCCAGACGAGAGUACCGUACGAAUAAGCAUCGGCUAACUCCGUUCCAGCAGCCGCGGGAGUACGGGGAAGGCAAGCGUUAUCCGGAUUUAUUGGGUUUAAAGGGGGCGUAGGCUGUGGGGUAAGUCAGCGGUGAAAUGCCCCCGCUCAACGGGGUGAAGUGCCAUUGAUACUGGCUUGCUGGAAUGCGGAUGCGGUGGGAGGAAUGUGAGGUGAAGCGGUGAAAUGCAUAGAUAUCACACAGAACACCGAUUGCGAAGGCAUCUCACGAAUCCGCGAUUGACGCUGAUGGACGAAAGCGUGGGUAUCAAACAGGAUUAGAUACCCUGGUAGUC
rnacentral:rRNA from 1 species